UGACCCCCUGGGAAGUCCUCGUGUUGCAACCU
rnacentral:rRNA from 2 species